UACGUAGGUGGCAAGCGUUGUCCGGAUUUAUUGGGUUUAAAGGGUGCGUAGGCGGUUCUAUAAGUCAGUGGUGAAAUACGGCAGCUCAACUGUCGAGGUGCCAUUGAUACUGUAGAACUUGAGUACAGACGAGGUAGGCGGAAUUGACAGUGUAGCGGUGAAAUGCUUAGAUAUCGUCAAGAACACCGAUAGCGAAGGCAGCUUACUAGGCUGUAACUGACGCUGAGGCACGAAAGUGUGGGGAUCAAACAGG
rnacentral:rRNA from 1 species